GUCCACGCCGUAAACGAUGGGUACUAGAUGUCGCGGGUGUUGACCCCUGCGGUGUCGCAGCUAACGCACUAAGUACCCCGCCUGGGGAUUACGGUCGCAAGACUAAAACUCAAAGGAAUUGACGGGGGCCCGCACAAGCGGUGGAGCAUGUGGUUUAAUUCGACGCAACGCGAAGAACCUUACCUGGGCUAGACAACGGUGGCCCGCCCCAGAGAUGGGGCUUUCCCUUCGGGGACUGCCGGUUCAGGUGCUGCAUGGCUGUCGU
rnacentral:rRNA from 1 species